UACGGGGGGAGCAAGCGUUGUUCGGAUUUACUGGGCGUAAAGGGCGCGUAGGCGGUCAAGUGUGUGAGGCGUGAAAGCCUGGGGCUUAACUCCAGAAUUGCACCUCAAACUACAUGGCUAGAGCAUUGGAGAGGGUAGCAGAAUUCACGGUGUAGCAGUGAAAUGCGUAGAUAUCGUGAGGAAUACCAGAGGCGAAGGCGGCUACCUGGACAAUUGCUGACGCUCAGGCACGAAAGCGUGGGGAGCAAAAGGG
rnacentral:rRNA from 1 species